rnacentral:lncRNA from 1 species
UGUAAUUGUGCGCUGUUGUCUCUGUUGUCUCCGGCAUUUCUCUGUUAUCUUGCUCGCUGUAAAGAUUUUUUCACUGAUAUCGAAAUCUCUUAUAAUCUUUUGUUUUGCUGAGAGAAGUCAUGUCGAGGUGAAAUAUCUGGAGGAAAUUUUGUUGCAGAAAAAGGGCUCGUUGGGAAAUAUUCGCAUCGAAUAAUCGAGGUUGUUAAGUUAAAGCAGUUUCAUUGGCAUUUAGAACUGAAAGUGGAAAAGUGUACAGAAAAGCACAAGAUUUGCUGAAAAACAAAUUAGGAUGAACAUUACAAAAAGAAGCUUAUUUCUUGGAAAGGUACAUCGUUGUUUAGCAUCUUGAUUUGAAAUCGCAUUGUAAUUCGUAGUGGAAAAAACUUUUCAACAAAUGGAUAUGGCCAGAAUAUAACAUAAUCUGAUGAUACGCUCUGAAAUAUUGCAUCAAUCAUGUGUCGAUCAAUUAUGGGAUAAUCCAUCAGUUCACCAUAAAGAGGAAUAACUUAUAAGCCCAAUGGUGU